ACAUCAGUUCAGCUUCAACAUCAACAUGUUCUCUGCAGCUCUGAUACUGCUGCUGGCAGCUGGAUCCUGUGUGAACAGUAUUGAUCUCAUCCAGCCAGACACGAUGGUUGUGCAGCCUGGACAGUCUUUGUCCAUCACCUGUCAGGUCUCUGGUUAUUCUUUGACUGAUAACAGCUAUGCAACAGGUUGGAUCAGACAGUGUGAAGGAAAACCAAUGGACUGGAUUUUUCAUCAGUGGGGAGGAGGCGACUUUUACCAAAAUGAUGCUCUGAAGAACAAGUUCAGCUACAGCAGAGACACUUCUGCUGGAACAGUGACUAUAAAAGGAAAUAAUCUGCAACCUGAAGACACAGCUGUGUAUUACUGUGUACAUAUAAUAACAGUCAACAGACUCUUCUAUUGGCUCCAGUUAGACCAACAUUGA